GAUGAAGAACGCAGCGAAAUGCGAUAAGUAAUGUGAAUUGCAGAAUUCAGUGAAUCAUCGAAUCUUUGAACGCACAUUGCGCCCGCCAGUAUUCUGGCGGGCAUGCCUGUCCGAGCGUCAUUUCAACCCUCGAACCCCUCCGGGGGGUCGGCGUUGGGGAUCGGCCCUGCCUCUUGGCGGUGGCCGUCUCCGAAAUACAGUGGCGGUCUCGCCGCAGCCUCUCCUGCGCAGUAGUUUGCACACUCGCAUCGGGAGCCCGGCGCGUCCACAGCCGUUAAACACCCAACUUCUGAAAUGUUGACCUCGGAUCAGGUAGGAAUACCCGCUGAACUUAAGCAUAUCAAUAAGCGGAGGA
rnacentral:misc_RNA from 1 species